rnacentral:ribozyme from 1 species
GGUAAACUUGACUCUGCUAACGGGGUAGGAUCCGAGGCCCUGUAAAGGAACACAUAGGCUCUCCUACUCAACUCCUAUUCUGUUACGUUCCCCUCGUGCAGAGUGGUAACCUGCUCCACCGUAUAUCCAAGCUUGGGUAAACGGGCCAGUUCCAACCCCUCAGGCGGAUGGUGGACCAUCUUCUAUAAG